rnacentral:rRNA from 1 species
CGUGCUUAACACAUGCAAGUCGAACGAGGUGAUUGAAAGCUUGCUUUUGAGAACCGAGUGGCAAACGGGUGAGUAAUGCGUAGACAACCUGCCGCAAAGAUGGGGACAACAGUCCGAAAGGACUGCUAAUACCGAAUGUUGUGCAACCUCCGCAUGGAGGAUGCAUUAAAGAUGGCCUCUACUUGUAAGCUAUCGCUUUGCGAUGGGUCUGCGUCUGAUUAGCUAGUUGGUGGGGCAACGGCCUACCAAGGCGACGAUCAGUAGCCGGUCUGAGAGGAUGAACGGCCACAUUGGAACUGAGACACGGUCCAGACUCCUACGGGAGGCAGCAGUGGGGAAUCUUCCGCAAUGGGCGAAAGCCUGACGGAGCAACGCCGCGUGAGUGAAGAAGGUCUUCGGAUCGUAAAGCUCUGUUGUCGGGGACGAAUGUUGAGAUUUAGAAUAUAGAUUUCAAAUGACGGUACCUGACGAGGAAGCCACGGCUAACUACGUG